UCCUACGGGGGGCAGCAGUGGGGAAUAUUGCACAAUGGGGGAAACCCUGAUGCAGCGACGCCGCGUGGGCGAGGAAGUACCUCGGUAUGUAAAGCCCUAUCAGCAGGGAAGAAACAGGACAGUACCUGACUAAGAAGCCCCGGCUAACUACGUGCCAGCAGCUGCGGUAAUACGUAGGGGGCAAGCGUUAUCCGGAUUUACUGGGUGUAAAGGGUGCGUAGGUGGCAGGGCAAGUCAGAUGUGAAAGCCCGGGGCCCAACCCCGGUACUGCAUUUGAAACUGUCCGGCUGGAGUGCAGGAGAGGG
rnacentral:rRNA from 1 species